rnacentral:rRNA from 1 species
GAAAUUUUAACGGCCGCAGUACCUUGACUGUGCAAAGGUAGCAUAAUCAUUUGACUUUUAAUUGGAGCCUGGAAUGAAAGAAAGAACGUAGACGGCUUGUCUCAUUAAUACUAUUCUAAAGUUAUUCAAGGAGUGAAAAUACUCUUAAUUUUAAAAAUAGACGAGAAGACCCUUAGAAUUUUUAAAAUAUAUAAGCAGGAAUCUUAUAAUAUUUUUUGUUGGGGCA